UACGAAGGGUGCAAGCGUUACUCGGAAUUACUGGCGUAAGCGUGCGUAGGUGGUUUUUAAGUCCGUUGUGAAAGCCCUGGGCUCAACCUGGGAAUGGCAGUGGAUACUGGAAGCUAGAGUGCGGUAGAGGGUAGUGGAAUUCCCGGUGUAGCAGUGAAAUGCGUAGAGAUCGGGAGGAACACCAGUGGCGAAGGCGGCUACCUGGACCAGCACUGACACUGAGGCACGAAAGCGUGGGAGCAACAGG
rnacentral:rRNA from 1 species